UACGUAGGGCGCAAGCGUUAUCCGGAAUUAUUGGGCGUAAAGAGCUCGUAGGCGGUUUGUCGCGUCUGCCGUGAAAGUCCGGGGCUCAACUCCGGAUCUGCGGUGGGUACGGGCAGACUAGAGUGAUGUAGGGGAGACUGGAAUUCCUGGUGUAGCGGUGAAAUGCGCAGAUAUCAGGAGGAACACCGAUGGCGAAGGCGGUUGCCUGGAGCUUUGCUGACGCUGAUGCGCGAAAGCGUGGGGAGCGAUCCGG
rnacentral:rRNA from 1 species